GCGGAUCCUAAAGGCACCAGGAGCUUCACAGCUUCUAUGGUAAUGGAAUUGAUGGCUGUUUCUCUUAGAUAAAUCUUUGACUGUGAUUAUUGGACUCAACGGGUGACAAGGUGCUUCUCUUAAAAUUACAGUUAGAAAAGGGAAAUUCGGACCCAUCCUUUGUCCACUCUCUUGAGGCAGCUGUGAGCCUGGAGGAGGGAACUGGUGGAUAACAGCACCUCCCCUUUCUCUGGGUAAGCUCCCUGCAGAGUGUUGCUCUCUGCCGUGGGUCAGUGUGUGUGAUCUGCCUUCUUUCUACCCGCCUUCUUUUACCCAAUGAUGUCAUCAUUUCCCUCUUUCCUCACUAUUAUGAUUCCAUCAGAGUCAUCCUGUUACCAAGAGAACAAGGUCGUCUGUCCUGCAGAAUGGGCAAAAAUCUUGCUGGGAGCUUGUAUCAACCCCAAGGCUUCCACAGGACAGAAGCUUGCUUGCAAUCUGGAUUAGUAUCUUCCUCAAGCCCAGCCUAACCAGGAAUUACAUGAUUAGUUUGAUCUCCAUUGCUCUGGUUCUCAUCCCCCACCCCCACCCCCGAACUCCUCUCAGGAACAAAUAUUUGACCAACAACUACCUUUAACAUUAGUAUAAUUUCAGAGGUAGCAAAAUGUUUGUUUCUGUUUUAAGAGGACACCAGACUCGAGACCUCUUCUACUCAGGCAAAUACAAUAGAAGCGGUACAGUAAAAACUAAGUUAGAUCCAAAGAGAAAGUUCUUUUUUGAAGAUGCUGAUGGAAGGUAAAUGUGGAAGACGAGUCUUCCAAAGAACCGACCGUGAUGUUGAUCCUGGAAUGAGAACUCCCAAACAGGACUAAGACUUCACUAAAGUUAAAUUUAGAGCACGUCACUAACGAUCUCAAAAGCAGCCAUUUGGAAGAAAAAAGGCAACUCAAGAGUAAUAUGUCUGUAACACAAUGACCGGCCAGUGGCUUAAUUAUGAAAUACGUAAGCAACAAUAAUUUAUAAAAUAAAGAGGAGUAGAUUUAAAUGGCCACUAAAAAUUCCAACGUGCUUAUUAUUCAUCAGGGAGAGGCGAUGAUAAAUGCAUUUUCUUCAUAAACUAUUUCUUGGAAUUAAGUAUCCGUCAUAAGGCACAGUGAAAACCUGGAGACAUAAAGGGGCAGAAGAGGAACCCGAAAGUCAUCGUGACUCUUCCAGGAAGUCUCUGGUCGGCCAAGAGAAGCCAACUGAUCACUCUAUGAGGUGUGCCCUCUCAUUAUGACCGAAUGAAUGGAGAGAAUCAAUUUUAAUUUUGAAUGUUCUCACACAAACAAAUGAAGCAGUAGCCGCCAGAGGGCGGGUGCCUGGCAGACGGACAAGUGGUGCCUGCUCCUGCUGUAUGGUCACAUUGGCAAGUUUCAAAUAUAAAAUAAUUCGGGCAGUGGCUGAAUUGUCACCAAUUCUGGGAAUCAAAGUAAAACCUUUAAAAUGUAUUUUUCCUAAAAGAAGAUGUGGGAUAGGGUAGUAAAUGGUUCUAUAAAUUCACUUCAGACACCAACACUGAAGAGCAUGCAGUCUCUCCUCAGCGUCAGCAGUGGGCUGGUUCCAGAACCUUCUCUGGAUGUCAGCAUUGGUAGGUGAUCAAGUCCAUUGUAUAAGAUGGCUUGUAACCCAUGCAGCUGCUUCUUUGUAGUUAAAGACUCUUUAUGCUAUAUUGUACUUAUUAUACUGUAUAAAUGCCACGCAAGCAAGCAAUGGUAAGCUGGAAUGUUUAGGGAGCAAUGACAAAAAUCAAAAUCUAUUACAUGUCCAAAGUUGUUUCAAAUCAUUUCCUAUCCACAGUUGGUUGAAUCUGACAUGGCUAGGUAACCCAGGAAUACCAAUUGCAUUUUAAAUACCAACUGCAUUUUUAGUGUGCGUACAAUGUGUGCAUGUUUGUGUGCAUCGUGUGCGCUUACACGAA
ensembl:lncRNA